CGGAAUUUGAAAUUAUUGUUUUAUAACGUGAAGCUGUUUUUCGGGACAAUUUUCACUUUGUCGGGAAUCGGGAACACAUGCUAAACAUCGGGAGAAUCCCGCCAAAUCCCGACCAUCUGGCAAUCCUAGUUGCAUCAUAAGUGAAUAAAAAAUAAAAAUGUAACACUUAAACAGACUUAGACCAAACUAUGUACUAUGGAACCACUACAGAUAAUCGAAUGAGUUAAGUAGUAGACCUAUCAUAAAUUCCAUUUAUUAUGAAUAUGUACCUAUGGAUUAGUGCUGUGAGACUUAUAUCGACCGGGAUAUGGCGUGAUUAACUUUUGUAUUGUUUUCGAGCUCCCGAUAUUUAGACGCAGUGGCAUGCAUCUUGUUCACGGGUAACUAAAGAUCGAUAUAAGUCUAGUGAAACUAACCGUCAAUCAUUCAAAACUGUUAUUAGUGCUGUGAGCUUGUGAAUACCUAACUUGGCGCUGUUAAUUUUUUUAUAUCAGAACAAUGUUAUUCCAAAUUGUAUAAUUAUGUUUGAAUAGACUAUAAAAUAUUGUGAUAUCAAGUAUAUGUUGUAAGUAAAAAUGACUUGUUUAAAUUGUAAAAAUAUGUUAUAAACUUGUAUAGGUUA